AACCCUUGUGAGCCUGAGAUGGGGGCAUCAAAUCAUACGAGCAUCCCAGUGCUCUUGUUGAAGGGGCUUCUCAGGGGACAGAGGUGAAAUGGAACAGAUGUGGGAGACAAGGUGCCUUCCAGUAGUGGUUCAACACAGUUCUGCAAAACACGACACUCUUGAUAAGUUUAUCCUGUGAUAGAAGGAGAUGAAAACUCAGAAAUGACUGCUAGCCUGGACAAGUCCAAGUCUGUGAUUCGAGUGCCACAGCAAUCUAGUAAAAUUAUCUGGAGAGAAAAACCCUUGAUAUGCAGGUGAGGAGCAGCUGAUGUCUGAAGUCUGACAUGGCAAGAAAGUUCCAGAUUCUGGAAGAAGAAACUAAAUCCAUGAAAACAUAAGUGAGAGCACUACAACCAGAUUAAAACAAUAUGGACAAUUGAAAAAAGACUGAGAAUGUUCACAUACAUUGCUGGGGCCUGUGAGGAGAGUUAGGUCCCGUGUCUGCUGCAGUGCUGGUUGCAAAGAGCAGAGAGCCCGCAGCUCCCCUGGGAGAAGAAGGCAGGGGACAUGAUGUAGGGUCAGGGUGUGGAGACAAAGUUAAUGGCACGGAGAAGGGAUCAGGAGGAAGCUGCGCGGUCCAGUGGGCACUGAACAUUCAGGACCGGGAGAAAAUAUCAGUUCUACCCCAAGAUUGCUAAGAAGAGGGGAAAAGCCCACUGGAUAGGUCAUCAUAGAGGCGUCCACACUGAGAGUGUCACCUGAAAGAGCAGGUCAGAAUCUUAGGCAAGAGCAGAAGAAAGGACCGUACUUGGUUGAAAGACAGAAAUGGAGCAUCCUGUAUAUGAGCUGACCUGCACAGCACAGGUGGCAUGGUGUGUCAAAGCAGAUGACCUGGUGGCCCACGAAGAGGAAGGGCUGGCGACCUACAGAAAGCAAUUCAAAGAUCUUGGGGGAAAACUGGAAAGAAUAAUUUCUUCUUUUCAGAGACAGAUCCUGUCCCAGGAGGGAAGAGCUCAUGAUCACUGGUGGAAGCUUGGAGGAUGAAUAAAACCUCAUUAUUUCCAGAUGGGAGAUCACAGACCUGAAACAAAGAGAACUAAAAAGACAAUUUAUCUCAAGCCUCUUGUUUGUAAUUUUAAUUUUUAAUUUUUGUGGGUACAUAGUAGGUGUGUAUAUUUAUGGGGUACAUAUGGUAUUUUGGUACAGGCAUGCAAUAUGUAAUAAUCACAUCAUGGAAAAUUGGGUAUUAAUCCCCUCAAGCAUUUAUCCUUUGAAACUGCUGCUUCUUCUCCUCCUCCUUCUUCCUCUUCUUCUCCUCCUUCUCCUCCUUCUUCUCCUCCUCAUCUUCCUCCUGCUCCUUUCUUCUUCCCUCCUCCUCCUCCUCUCCUCCUCCUCCUCCUCUCCUCCUCCUCCUCCUUCUCCUCCUUCUCCUCCUCUUCUUUUUAAGGGCAGGGUCUUGCUCUGUCACCCAGGCUGGAGUACAGUGGUAUGAUCAUGGCUCACUGCAGCCUCAACCUCCUGGGCUCAAGCAAUUGUCCUGCCUCAGCCUCCCAGGUAGCUGGGACUACAGCACCUCAAGCUUCUUGAAGUGGAUCUUAAUGCAUUUGACAAUCCUGGUGGGGCAUUAGGCAGAGAGUAAAUACAUCCUGACCUCUGAGACCGAAGUGUCCCUCGUGCUUCUCCUCAGACCCUCCCCUUGGCUGCCAGGCUGUGUUCCCCUCCCCUCUCCUUCUCCUUCUCCCUCCUCCUCUGCCAUUCUCCAAUCCAGUGCUUCGUGUGCAUCCAAACGGAGAGGAGCGGUCUUGUUAAAGAGCACUCCCUCUUCCUCCACCUCCUCCAGGACUCUACGCACCCCGCAUCCCAGCUGGCUCCCCAGCAAGGGGUCUUAGGCCUCCUUUUUCUCCAUCACAGUCUGGGUUUUUCUGGCACACCUCUAUCCAGAAAAUGGAAGUGACUUACCUUUUGGUUUCCCUCAGCCUCCAUCUGACCCUAGCAGUAAAAAUCCUGAAACACUGCAAAGACAUCAAGUCAUUAGGUUUUGUCUUUUUUCCUUGAAAUAUUGUUGACUUCUAUAUAUUUAAUUUUAGGAUAGAUAGCUGUUUUUUUAUGCAAGUGAUUUUAUUUUCUCUCAUUUUGCUUCUUGAUACUAAUAUAAAUUUCAGGUUAGAUUUAGAAAAUAAAGAUCACUUGAAUACUCCUGUUACAUUAUACGCUCUAGAAAAUGUAAGUAGCAGAGUUUUAUCUGAUAAGUCAGUCUACAUGAUCAUAUAACAUCAUCCGUGAACAGUUUAUCCCAUGGGGACAUUGAAAGUAGAAAACACUUUUCCAUCUGUUAAUGUUUGUAUCUGCCGCUGUUACAGGAAAAGGGUGAAAAUGACUUGAUGGUCCCAGUAAAUUACAGUCGAAUUAAAGCAUGGUCAAGGUGUGGUGGUCAAACGCAGAAGGCAGUCUGUGGAGUGGGGAGUUCUGCAGGCUGGGGCCCCUCUGUCUGCUGUGCUCUCGCUGUGCAGGGCUCUGGAAGGGUGAGCCCAGCCACAGCUGCUCAGUGAGGAGGGAGACAGGCUCAGGCUGUGGCUCUUUAACUCCCCAGGAGACCUGGGCCACUGGGACCCCAGAAUCUUCAUUUGGAGCAACAGUUCUUCACAAAGCUGUCUGUAGGCUUCACAGACUGAUGCCCUUGGUAGCAUCUUGUGCCAGGCCUCAGGAUGGGCCUGGGUCCUUGCUUCUGGAGAAUAGAGUAUGGAGGUGGCUCCUGCCAGCCUGAGAUAGAGUCAAGUGUGUCUCCAGGGUUGUUGUAGUUACUGAGCAGAGUCUUGUGUCUGAGACCCAUAUGCAUUAGUCUGCUGGGGCUGCCAUAACAAAGGCCUGCAGACUGAGUGGCUUAAACAACAGACAUUUGUUUUCUCACAGUUCUGGAGGCUGGAGGUCCAACGUCCAGGUGUUGGUGUUGGCAGAGUUGGUUUCUCCUGAGGCCUCUUUCCUUGGCUUGCCUUCUCCCCUUGUCCUUACACGGCCUUCUCUCUGUGCAUGCAUCCCUGGUGUCUCUUUUUCUCCUUAUAAGGACCCCAGUCACCUAAUUCACCCUUACUUGUGUCUUGAAGGCCCUGUCUCCAAAUGCAGCCACAGAGGGGUUAGGGCUUCAGCAUCUCUGGGGACACAGUUCAGUCCGCAGCACCAUUCCUGUCCCACCCUACAGAACAACAGACUGGCUGUGAUUGGAGCCUGGUCCUGAGCCUCCACCAAGCUGUCCCAGUGUUCAGGGCAGUGUGCUCCAGUGCCUUUGGGGUCGGUCUGACCACAGUGUGUAUGGGCUCUGGAAAUGGGAGGUUGUGUGGCUCCUGCAGCCAUCAGUCAGAGAACGCAUGGCCGUUCAGGGCAGGCCGGCCUUAGUCACAGUCCCCACGGCUGCUCUGGUUGCUCCUCCUGCCCUGGUGACUUCCUUUUCUCAACUCCCUUAGGCACACAAAGACCCAUGCAUGCUUCCUCCCUCCUUCACCAAUGUCCCCAGGGAAGAUUAAAACAUAGGUCCACAUGAAUAUCUAAGUGGGUGAGACAAAGAAGUUCUUAUUGUGCUCUUAAUUUCAGCUUGGUCCAAGUUACAGCUGCUGUGAGUCUCAUCUAAUACAUACCUAUAGUCAUAUAUGUUAUAUAUAUUUAUACAUGCUCACAUGUGUGUGCAUGUGUGUGUGUACGUGUGUGUAUACAAACUUCCUCUUUAAAAUAUUCCUGGAUCAUUUUUAACUUCCUCUUACUUUAAAAUAUUCCUGGAUAUAUCAUUGCUUAAAGUACAUAAACUUGCAUGAAAUGAUUCAAUGUUUCCAAGAUUCUCAAAAGGUUAGAAAAGGAAAUAAAUGUCUCCCAUCUUUCCAAAAUCUAUCAUUAUAACUAGGCAAUGUCUAGAUGUGGCUUAGUUCCUGUAGCAACUUCCGGGAAUGAGCAAAGUGAUCGCCUCCGAGGUGGUGCAGUGGCCUGUGGAGUCUAAGAGUUUAUAGCUUGAAAACUGCUCCUGUAACAAAAGUUGUAUUCAUAUCUGAGAUGUUAAAAGGUGAAGAUUUUUGCACAUUUUCUUUGUUAUGAUAAAAUACCACUUUUGAGUUUGCCGAUCUCACCACUGUGAACAACGUUAGUUCUCCACAUACGAUGGCAUUUGCCAGCUGUGCCCUCAGAUUUCAUUGGCUCCGUGUCUGGGUGAGUGGGAAUCAUUUAUGUGGGAAAUUCUCCAUUACAGGACAGUUAAUGCACCAAUGGCAUCAUUGUGAGGUUGGAGAUUUGGGGUGAUGAUCUGGCUGCUUGGCACCUCCAGGCUGGCAGACAGCACGGCUGUGGCCAGGAGGUAGCAGCACUAAUCAGGGGCAGCAGUGAUGAGUCCAGGUGUUCCUAAUGAGAAUUUGAUGUGAAUGAAACACAUUACGUGGCGGUCCCAAUUCAGAAUGGUUGCACUUAUUAUAUUUCUAUAUGGAAGUGUUUAUUUAACACCACAUUUGUCGGAAAUUACACAUAUCUCAAAGCCUGUAUAGGAUCCAACUGUUAACAGGGAGAAGAACCACUUCUAGAAAGUUGUUUUGUUUUUACCAAAUCCUCUAAAAUCGAUCAUAUUUUAGAUAAAUUGUUUAUUUGAAAACUUUCCUCUAUGACCUAUAAUUGGGAUUGAGUCUGAACUGACAAUAAAUAUAAUUACAACUGUUCAGUAGGUUGAAAAUAGAAUUUAUUCCUUAGUUUUGGCUACUUUGCAUGAAAAUGCUAAUUGUAUUUGCAUAUAAAGGAAGACUAAUUACUAAGACCUGAACCUAAAAUUGUAUUUUCCUAUGUUUAGCAAGCUGAAUUGCUUAUUAACAUCAACAAAAAUGGAUGUUUC
rnacentral:lncRNA from 1 species